rnacentral:lncRNA from 1 species
CCGGUUAGCCCGGCGCCCACAACCAGUACCCGGGACAUGGCGGCGGGCCUUCAGCUAGGCCGCUGACAGAGGCGCGGAGCCUCGCCGUCCCACUCUACCACUGUGUCCCCGCCUGGGUCAGGCAGGGCGGUGCCCUGCGCGGGACGUCUGCUCCUGAGAGCGCGGAGAACCCCGCAGGGGUGACUGAGGCCCAGGGGACGUUCUGCCCAGGCCUCCACCGAGCAGCUUACUUACUGGGCGAGCCCCAAUCCCAUCGUCCCCUGGAGGAUAAAUCAGGAAGUCACCGCCAGUUGGCCUCUUGAGGAUGACUGAAGUGAGUGAGAGGAGUCAGCAGCAAAGCCGCAGCUGGAUUUCUUUUGGGGUUUUAUAGGCCACUUCAGGUGACAGAGGGUUUUGAAAUCAGAGAGACAUUUCUGUCGUUGUUAUACAGCCUGAGAGACUACAAAUUAUGUGUCCUUCCUGACAUUGGCUCCUCAGUGACCGCAAAAUGUGGAAAAUAAUACCUCCUUUCCAAAGUUGUGAAGAAUGCAGGUACUUGGUUCACCAGAAAAUUUUGUCUCACUUACCAUGUCCACAAAUACCAACUUCUGUGUCAAAAUGGGAUCACUAUGAACGAAGGAAUAUUCUGUGAAAUGGAAUCUGCCAUGACCAUUGCCCUGUCAUCAACUUUGUCCUAAGAAGUUAAAAAAAAAAAAAAAUGAAAAAUAGGAACCAUUAAAAAACCUGCAAACCUAAAAGUUCAGCCUCUAUCUCCCUUCCCAGCUAUUGUCUAUAUAGCAACUCUUUCUUACCAAUUAAAGCCAGCUGGAGGCAGUGACUCUCAGUGUCAUAAAGUGCUGCUUUUGGGAGAGAAUUAAGACAAAGUAUUAGAACCAAUUGCCAAUUGUACUCCCUAGUGAUUAAGCAUUCAACUAUAUGAUCUUAAAGAUGUCAUUCUUAUUAAAACUACCACGUGUGCUUAAAUCUUCUAAACUGCAUAUUUUUCAAAGCACAUACUCUGAUAAUAAACAUGAAAUGUUUUCAGUCUCC